rnacentral:rRNA from 1 species
AAUACGGGAUAACAUAUUUGAGAGGCAUCUCUUAAAUAUCAAAGGUGAGCCAGUACAGGAUGGACCCGCGUCUGAUUAGCUAGUUGGUAAGGUAACGGCUUACCAAGGCGACGAUCAGUAGCCGACCCGAGAGGGUGAUCGGCCACAUUGGAACUGAGACACGGUCCAAACUCCUACGGGAGGCAGCAGUGGGGAAUAUUGCACAAUGGGCGAAAGCCUGAUG